GUAUUCAUAGAAAAUGAGAGAUGAUUGGUAUCUCCCUUGAUAAGGACAAGAACAAUAUUCAGACUAUUCCUUCACUAUACGAUAAAGGCUAUCUACCACUAGUGGAUCUUACCCAAAUUUUUU